ensembl:snoRNA SNORD42 Small nucleolar RNA SNORD42
GUGCAGAUGAUGUGAACAAUUUUUACCACUGAGUAAACUGAUGUUCCCAAAGGAACCACUGAUGCAC